rnacentral:rRNA from 1 species
ACGUACGCUGGCGGCACGCCUAACACAUGCAAGUCGAACGAAGUAGCAAUACUUAGUGGCAGACGGGUGAGUAACAUGUAGGUAUCUGCCCUUUGGCCUGGAAUAACACGAGGAAACUUGUGCUAAUACCGGAUAAGUCUUUACGGAGAAAGCUUUAUGCACCAUUGGAUGAGCCUGCACUUGAUUAGUUUGUUGGUGGGGUAAUGGCCUACCAAGACUGUGAUCAAUAGCUGAUUUGAGAGGAUGAUCAGCCACAUUGGGACUGAGACACGGCCCAAACUCCUACGGGAGGCAGCAGUGGGGAAUCUUGCACAAUGGAGGAAACUCUGAUGCAGCGAUGCCGCGUGAGUGAAGAAGGCCCUUGGGUUGUAAAGCUCUUUCGUCGGGGAAGAAAAUGACUGUACCCGAAUAAGAAGGUCCGGCUAACUUCGUGCCAGCAGCCGCGGUAAUACGAAGGGACCUAGCGUAGUUCGGAAUUACUGGGCUUAAAGAGUUCGUAGGUGGUUGAAAAAGUUGGUGGUGAAAUCCCAGAGCUUAACUCUGGAACUGCCAUCAAAACUUUUCAGCUAGAGUAUGAUAGAGGAAAGCAGAAUUUCUAGUGUAGAGGUGAAAUUCGUAGAUAUUAGAAAGAAUACCAAUUGCGAAGGCAGCUUUCUGGAUCAUUACUGACACUGAGGAACGAAAGCAUGGGUAGCGAAGAGGAUUAGAUACCCUCGUAGUCCAUGCCGUAAACGAUGUGUGUUAGACGUUGGAAAUUUAUUUUCAGUGUCGCAGGGAAACCGAUAAACACACCGCCUGGGGAGUACGACCGCAAGGUUAAAACUCAAAUGAAUUGACGGGGACCCGCACAAGUAGUGGAGCAUGUGGUUUAAUUCGAAGAUACGCGCAGAACCUUACCAACACUUGACAUGUUCGUCGCGACUCUAAGAGAUUAGAGUUUUCGGUUCGGCCGGACGAAACACAGGUGCUGCAUGGCUGUCGUCAGCUCGUGUCGUGAGAUGUUGGGUUAAGUCCCGCAACGAGCGCAACCCUCACUUUUAGUUGCCAUCAUUAAGUUGGGCACUCUGAAAGAACUGCCAGUGAUAAGCUGGAGGAAGGUGGGGAUGACGUCAAGUCCUCAUGGCCCUUACGUGUUGGGCUACACACGUGCUACAAUGGUAUCUACAACAGGAAGCAAGACUGCGAAGUUAAGCAAAUCCCUAAAAGAUACCUCAGUUCGGAUUGCACUCUGCAACUCGAGUGCAUGAAGCUGGAAUUACUAGUAAUCGUGGAUCAGCGUGCCACGGUGAAUGCGUUCCCGGGUCUUGUACACACCGC